UGGGUUCACGCCAUUCUCCUGCCUCAGCCUCCCAAGUAGCUGGGACUACAGGCACCUGCCACCACUCCCGGCUAAUUUUUUGUAUUUUCAGUGGAGAUGGGGUUUCACCAUGUUAGCCAGGAUGGUCUUGAUGUCCUGACCUUGUGAUCCGCCCACCUCGGCCUCCCAAAGAGCUGGGAUUACAGGUGUGAGCCACUGCGCCCGGCCCACUUAUUUUACUUUCUAUUCAUUUACCUCCAUGCUUCAUCUUCCUUACUACAUUGAAAAUCCUUGAAGGCAAUAAUAUACAUCUGAUUUAUUUUUGGGCAUUCAUUCAGUGCUCAAAAAAGCAUCUUUUAAGUAGAAAUGUUAGAUAGAU
rnacentral:lncRNA from 1 species